GCCCGAGAGGAGAAGCAGGGUGGAUGCCUUGGCACUAAGAGCCGAUGAAAGACGUGAUAAGCUGCGAAAAGCUUCGGGGAGGAGCAAAUAUCCAUUGAUCCGGAGAUAUCUGAAUGGGGAAACCCGGCUGAGCAAACCUCAGUCAUCCAUACGCCAAUCCAUAACGUAUGGAAGGGAACCCGGUGAACUGAAACAUCUAAGUAGCCGGAGGAAAAGAAAGAAAACUCGAUUUCCAAAGUAGCGGCGAGCGAAAUGGAAAGAGGCCAAACCAUGGUGCGUGCACCGUGGGGUUCGGACCGCAUAAUUGAUUCGUUGAUCCUAGCAGAAAGGUUUUGGGAAAGCCUGCCAGAGAGGGUGAAAGCCCCGUAAGCGAAAGGAAAGACGACAUGGCGGAAUCCAGAGUACAUCGAGACACGAGAAACCUUGAUGGAAUGAGCGGGGACCACCCCGUAAGCCUAAAUACUCCUUAGUGACCGAUAGCGCAUAGUACUGUGAAGGAAAGGUGAAAAGGACCCCGGGAGGGGAGUGAAAGAGAACCUGAA
rnacentral:rRNA from 1 species